rnacentral:rRNA from 1 species
UACGUAGGGUGCAAGCGUUGUCCGGAAUUACUGGGCGUAAAGAGUUCGUAGGCGGUUUGUCGCGUCGUUCGUGAAAACUUGGGGCUUAACUCCAAGCGUGCGGGCGAUACGGGCAGACUUGAGUACUACAGGGGAGACUGGAAUUCCUGGUGUAGCGGUGAAAUGCGCAGAUAUCAGGAGGAACACCGGUGGCGAAGGCGGGUCUCUGGGUAGUAACUGACGCUGAGGAACGAAAGCGUGGGUAGCGAACAGG